AUUGAACGCUGGCGGCAUGCCUUACACAUGCAAGUCGAACGGCAGCGGGGGAGAAGCUUGCUUUUCCUGCCGGCGAGUGGCGAACGGGUGAGUAAUACAUCGGAACGUGCCCUGUAGUGGGGGAUAACUAGUCGAAAGAUUAGCUAAUACCGCAUACGACCUGAGGGUGAAAGUGGGGGACCGCAAGGCCUCAUGCUAUAGGUGCGGCCGAUGUCUGAUUAGCUAGUGGGUGGGGUAAAGGCCUACCAAGGCGACGAUCAGUAGCUGGUCUGAGAGGACGAUCAGCCACACUGGGACUGAGGCACGGCCCAGACUCCUACGGGAAGCAGCAUGGGGGAAUUUUGGACAAUGGGCGAAAGCCUGAUCCAGCAAUGCCGCGUGUGUGAAGAAGGCCUUCAGGUUGUAAAGCACUUUUGUCCGGAAAGAAAUGGCUCUGGUUAAUACCUGGGGUCGAUGACGGUACCGGAAGAAUAAGGACCGGCUAACUACGUGCCAGCCGCCGCGGUAA
rnacentral:rRNA from 1 species